AUACGUAGGGGGGCGAGCGUUGUCCGGAUUUACUGGGUGUAAAGGGAGCGUAGACGGUUUGGCAAGUCUGAUGUGAAAGCCCGGGGCUCAACCGCGGGACUGCAUUGGAAACUGUCAGACUUGAGUGCAGGAGAGGUAAGUGGAAUUCCUAGUGUAGCGGUGAAAUGCGUAGAUAUUAGGAGGAAUACCAGUGGCGAAGGCGACUCUCUGGACUGAUACUGACGCUGAGGCACGAAAGCGUGGGGAGCAAACAGGAUUAGAUACCCUGGUAGUCCACGCUAUAAACGAUGAGUGCUAGGUGUCGGGGGUCAAACCUCGGUGCCGCAGUUAACACAUUAAGCACUCCGCCUGGGGAGUACGGCCGCAAGGCUGAAACUCAAAGGAAUUGACGGGG
rnacentral:rRNA from 1 species